UGUAGGUAAUCGAUCCUUCCAAUUUCUUCCUUCCACCGUUCCUUAUCCAAACCUUCUGUUCUUUUUCCUCUGCUUCCCGAUCCUUCCACAAUAUUUCCUUUACCCUCUGUGAGGGUUUCUCUUUAGAACCGAUUGAGCACCGCCAUCACGUACUAACCAUGACAUUUAUUUUGUUUUGAUUGGCCAAUAGGGAAGACGAACACAAGACAGAAGUAAGGGAAAAGAGAAAUUGGGGGUAAACCACAGUCGGUAUGUGAAUUCGACACUUCCACCAUCGAUAUAUGAAAUCGACACGUCGAAAGAGUGAUAGAUCGUCAGACCAGUCAUCAGUACAUAAUUUUUGCAUAGCUUCAUCACUUCAACCUCGCUUCACCCACUUUGAUUUGGAACGGAUGCAAAAUUUAAUUCCAGACUGAUUUCGUCUCUAUUUUUUCAUCAUGAAGGUGAGAUUUUGCUAUUUUUUAUGGAAUUGAAGUUGUUGUACAUCGUUGAUUGUUGAUUCCUCGAUCACCAUUCAUCUCCACCACAAAAACCAUCAACACACAUCCAUUUUCGGAUACCGUUUGGAAAUCAAAGCUAACACUUAACCAGCAACAUCUGCUCGACUUAAUCCCACCUGACAGAGGCAAUGGCAAUUACAAGGAUACAAGAUCUAAGAUACUGAAAUUGGGUUUAUACUGAAUAAUCAAGGUUUAUAACUUCAUUAUUUAUGAUUUCAUAUCAUCAAAAUAUAUUGAUUCUGAAGAACCUAGGUUUAUAACUUCAUCAUUUAGGAUACAUGUACUGAUGUAUGAAGAAUUAUGUACUUUAGAUGCUUAAAAAUCAACAUCUACCGAAUCUUUUUAGAUGAUUGUGAUAUGUAUGAUGAUACCAUUGGAAAUUAUAAAUGCCGUAACUAGAUCGAAUUCUACACCAAAAGAAAGUAAGUUGGGUUAAAAAGGUCCAACAUACUAGACCGUGGAUGUUAUGUUGCCUCUUUUUAGGUAAUCCUUGAACUUCAUUAUUUAGGAGUUUCAGACCAUGAAAGCUUUCAGUAACUUUAUUAACUUAAAAAAUGUAUUUUUUCUUUUCUUUAUUUUUUUUUGUAGAAAGCCGUUGUUUGUUGGUGGUCUGGGUAUCAACAUUGCAGCUUAUGACAGAGGAAAAAAACAAAAUCUGGAUUUGAGGUAAGGAUCUUUGUCUUUUUGUAAGAAUAAGAGGUGCUUUCAUUUAAUGAGUUUUGGUUUACAUGCAUAUUUGACAAAGAAUAUGACCAAAUUAUUGAGUUUAUAUAUAAAAAGGAUCAUGUUUUGAUGAAGCUUUGAACAAUUAAGUUUUCAUAUAAUUUUAUUUUUUAUUUAUUGGUUGAUGGUUGCAAAAUUGCUAAGCAAAUUCAAUGUCAAGUGUCUUGGGCUGAACAUGGGAACAAAUUGUAUUACUUUCUAUUUUUAUAUUUGAUUUUUUGUCUUUUGUUUCUUGUGUUUUUGUGGUUUUGAAGUUUUUUUUAUUUCUUUUUAUAAGUUUUUAGGAUUUUUGUGGUCAAGAAAUUUUACUAUGUUCUCAUACAUCUUAAAUGCUACCCAUUUCUCAUUGUAAUCACAAAUCCAUAAGGGUCGGUUUUGACCCUAAAAAAUGUAUUAAAAACCAACAAAUGAAAUCAAUUGGAUGAUUUUGUGUCUUUAAAUUGCUGGUCAAAUAUGAAAAAUACCGGACAGAAUAGAUAGAUAAUAUACUGUAUAUAGACAACAUACACAUUAAAGACUUUACUUAAUCUGAAUGAACAUGGUGUAACCUAUACAAAUGUAGGCAAUGUACUUUUUUAAAGUUAUUAGAAGAAUGGAAUGUUGCAUUCCAUUGGAAUCAAUUUGUUACACUUGAUGAUUUAUAAUAGAACAUAUUCAUUUAGGUAUGUUGAUAAUCUUCUUACAAUUUCAUUUUUCACUUUCGGAUCUCCUCAAUUUUCCACACACAACUGAUGACCUUCAAAUCUUGAGGAAUUUUUUACACACCCUCUUUAACCUAAUGUCGUGUUCAGAGUAAAAACAAAUUGUUCAUGAAAGAAUAUUUGCAGAUAAUAAAUCGAAAAAAAAAUUCACAUCUGUUGAUCAAAUAAUAUUUACAAAGAACAAACAACGGUAAAAAUUGUCGCAUCCGACCCCCACAACGCGGGGUUCCCCACCUAGUUCAUAUAAAUCAUAAUAUAUUUUUAGUAAUUAAGUCCAUAAAACAUAUAACUAUUUAUAUAUUUAGGUUUUUACUUGUAAUAUAUUUAUCUUUCUGUCAGAUUAUAUUAUUUUUAUUUAAUCUUAUGGUAUUUUCUUUGUCUAAUAAUGAAUAUUCAUAAUAAAAACGUUUUCUUUUUCCUUCUAAAAUAAACUUUAUUUUCUAAUUUUCUAAUAAAUUAUAUCAUUUAAGGUUGUCAAGAUCUGGAUUGUAUAUAUAAUCGUUUUUUGUUUUGUAAAAUCAUGAUCAUAAAAUUGAUUCGUGAUCAUCAGACCCAACCAAAAACAUUCUAAAGCAUAAAAAAUAUUUUUUCAUCCAUCAAUUAACAAUUAAUACUUUAAAACAUGAAAAAUACAUAUCCAACGCGUCAUUUAACAAUAAAAUUUCCAAAUAGGAUUUUUAGAGUUAAUAUAUGACGCAAUUAGUUAGUCUAAGACAGAAUAUUAGAUUUUUUCUUAAAAAAUAUGUAGUAACGAUCUUACAAUCGAUUCUACGAUAUUAUGAUCUGAUCCUAUGAUCAUAUCCCGAACUUGAGAUAUUUUUUUGAACAAAUUACACGAAUGGUCCCUAUGGUUUGGUGUUUGUUACGCGCCUAGUCCCUAACUCCAUUUUUUUACCCUGCCAAUCCUUAAUUGUUUGAUUUAUUACACGCCCGGUCCCUAAUCUAACCCGUCAUUUGAUUUGGGAGGUAAAACCCCCAAGUGCCUUGCAUGUUAGGGUAUUUCCGUCCUUUUACUUAUUCAUACUACUGCCAGUUUAAUAAAUCGAUGCGUUCAAUUACAAGAUCAUACUCUACAUUGUACAACACACUCGUAUACCAAAAAACACAGUUAAGUGUGAAAUCUUUACAUGAAAACCCUACGAGCGACGACUGCAACAAUGAAGAACUGCAAUGGUUUCUUGGCGCAUUCGUGGUGAAACGGCAGAAAUCAACGUUGUUCAAAGUUAUUUUGGAUAUCCGAUAAUGUUAUCAAUAAGAAUGCACCAUGGAAGUGAGUUUACAAGCUUUCCUAGAAGGACGUAUAUUCGUGGGAAGUAAACAUUUGUUGAUUUACCAGACAUUGAUACUUUUUCCGUUCAUGACAUUGAUGAGAUGGCGGAAGACCUAGAGUAUGCUUCAGUAGGUAAAGCACUUUAAUAUAACUUUCAAAGGCCUUUUGGUGAUUUAGAUUUUGGGUUAUUCUCCUUAGCUAGUGAUGGAGAUGCUCGUUAUUUAGGGAAUUUUGUGGCUAAGCAUAAGUUAAUUGACAUAUAUAUAUAUAUAUAUAUAUAUAUAUAUAUAUAUAUAUAUAUAUAUAUAUAUAUAUAGAGAGAGAGAGAGAGAGAGAGAGAGCAUGACAAAACUACUUUGCACACAUAUUUAAUGUCCCCAACCCACAGUAAGGUUCGUAUUACGGAAAUUUUUUAACCUCCAUCUUGUUCAAAGAGAUUGUUCCUGAAGUGGCAUGACACACCUACUGUUGACUUGGAGAAUGCCAUAGAUCACAUAGAGAAAGAAUCAUGUAAUGAUCCAACACCCACUAAUCAUAUGGAGAAGAUUUUGGGUAAUGAUGCUACUCUCAUUAAUCAUUUGGAGAAGGACUUGGUUAAUGAUGCUAAUGGUUUGGAUAAUAUACUAGAUGAUGCUAAUUAUGAAUUUGGUGAGAUUAGUGAGUUAGAGAGUGACAAUGAUGAAAAUGAUGAUAGUGGUUUUUUUGUGGAAUUGGACAAUAUGUUGGUUGAUAUUAAUGUGGAUAUGCAAGACUUUGAAAUGAAUAUCGACAAAGUUGUGGAAUGGGUUGGAGAUUCGUCUAACACUAUGGUUGAUGAAGGCACACAUGAUGAAGAUGUAUAGGUGAUUAACACUGAUGUGUUUCUUAAUAAAUUGUGUGAAACAUUCAAUGGAAAACUGAAUGAUGGUCGUGAUAAACCAAUUAUUACGUGCCUAGAGUUCAUUAAGGAAUAUCUUGUGAAUGUAGAAAAGGCCAUUGGAAAAACUAUUGGUCCUUUAACACCUACAACUAUGCAGACUUUGUAAAAGAUAAAAUAAGGCAGAAGAUUAUAAAUAUAUUUUUUUAGAAAUGGUAAGUAUCAGGUAAGUGACCCUUAGAUGGACUAGUAUGUGGUGGAUGUGGUUCAACAAACAUGCUUGUGCAAGAAAUGGGGACUCACUAGGAUGCCAUGCAAACAUGUUGUUACUAUUAUAUGGGAGAUGAGGAAGAAUAGUAAGGAUGCGGGAAUACCAGAAACUUGGGUCCAUGAGGUAUAUUGGCUAAAAAUUUGGAAACAAAUGUACUCAUUCAAAAUUGAACUAAUUAAUGGGAGAAGGAUGUGGGAAAAGUCUAUGUGCCCAACAACUUUGAUUCCUCCCAAACACCAUGUCACAAUAGGUAGACCAAAUACGAAACGCAGAAGAGCCGCUUAUGAAAUUAAUAACAUGGUGAAGGGUAAUAGAGCAUCAAAAGUCCUUAAGUUAAUCACUUGUUCAAUGUGCAACAACAAUGGUCAUAACACAAGGAGUUGUAAAGGACAAAGAUCUAGUGGUCCUGGUGGUUUUGGUAAGGCUAGUGGUUCUGGUAAGGGAAAAGGAAUAACUAGUUGAGGGAAAGGGAUUGAUUCAUUAGUCAAAGUAUGCUUUUUUGGUUAAUCAGUUCUUUUGGUUAAACUGUGUCCUUUUAGUUAAACUGUGACCUUAUGGUUAAUAGUUUUGGGUAAAUUGCAUUUCUUUUGGCUAAUCCUUUUGGUGAUGUAUGAAAGUAUGUUAUGGAAACUGAAUUAUCCUUUAUUAAAUCCCACUUAUGUUAUUGAUUGUUUUUGUUAGCAUAUGUUAUUGGUUGUUUAUGCCAAUUGUUAGUGUUUAAUUUUACCAUAUACUUGACACCAAUAUAUUAUCAAUUGUUAGUGUUUAAUUUUGUUACCAAAUUCACCAUAAUAUUUUGACCAAAUAUUAGCAAUAUAUUAUCAAAUUCACAAACACUUAAUCAAAAUACAUUCCAGAAACACUUCAAAUUCGCAGACAACAACGAACUACAUGGAUCAUCUAAAACACUUCAAAGUCAAAAUAAAUUCCAGAAAGACGUAAACAUCCUAUGUAGCAUACUAGUUGGAUCUUCUUAAACGCUAAAACUUGUAAAUAAGAUUCCUAUGAACACCCAACUUAAAAAAUGAUCAUCUUCAACAUCCGAUUCUCAGGUUCAACUUUGUUCUUAGCCUUCAACAACCAUAGAAUUAUCUUAGUACAUCAUCUACAUCCUUCCUCAUCAACUCAUCCAAUAAACUUACAUUUAGGUCCUUGUAAAGUUCAAAUCCAGCCAACUUAGGGUCAUUGUCACACAAAAGAUUGAGUUAGAAAGAAUGAUAACGACCUUACCUUCUUUGAUCACCCAUAAAACUUUCUUCUGUGGUUGUCGUUAGUUCAUGAAGUCAUUAUAACAGUUGGUUGCCUGCAAUUACAUUUCACCAUUGUUGAUUUUUACUUGUACAAAAGAGAUUAAAGAAAUGGGAGAUGAUCUGAGAGAACGAAUGUAGAGGAAGAAAAUGGCAAUGCUUCUAAUGACCGAUCUAGGGUUUUUGAAGGAGAUGAAUAAGUAAAAGGACGGAAAUACCCACAAAGUGCAAGGCACGUGGGGGUUUUAACUCCAAAAUCAACGACAGGUUAGAAUAGGUACCAGGCGUGUAAUAAAUUAAACAAUUAAGGAUUGGUAGGGUUAAAAAAUGGAGUUAGGGACUAGGCGCAUAACAAACACCAAACCAUAGGGAGCAUUCGUGUAAUUUGUCCUAUUUUUUUAACUUUUAGAUUUUUUUAUUUUAAAAAUUAUAUAGUAAUAUAAAAUCAUAUAUUAAACAAAGAAAAACAAUAAAUAAUAGUAAGAU